CCCUUUGGGGUGUGACUGCGUACCUUUUGUAUAAUGGGUCAGCGACUUAUAUUCUGUAGCAAGGUUAACCGAAUAGGGGAGCCGGAGGGAAACCGAGUCUUAAUUGGGCGUUAAGUUGCAGGGUAUAGACCCGAAACCCGGUGAUCUAGCCAUGGGCAGGUUGAAGGUUGGGUAACACUAACUGGAGGACCGAACCGACUAAUGUUGAAAAAUUAGCGGAUGACCUGUGGCUGGGGGUGAAAGGCCAAUCAAACCGGGAGAUAGCUGGUUCUCCCCGAAAGCUAUUUAGGUAGCGCCUCGUGAAUUCAUCUCCGGGGGUAGAGCACUGUUUCGGCUAGGGGGCCAUCCCGGCUUACCAACCCGAUGCAAACUGCGAAUACCGGAGAAUGUUAUCACGGGAGACACACGGCGGGUGCUAACGUCCGUCGUGAAGAGGGAAACAACCCAGACCGCCAGCUAAGGUCCCAAAGUCAUGGUUAAGUGGGAAACGAUGUGGGAAGGCCCAGACAGCCAGGAUGUUGGCUUAGAAGCAGCCAUCAUUUAAAGAAAGCGUAAUAGCUCACUGGUCGAGUCGGCCUGCGCGGAAGAUGUAACGGGGCUAAACCAUGCACCGAAGCUGCGGCAGCGACGCUGAUGCGUUGUUGGGUAGGGGAGCGUUCUGUAAGCCUGCGAAGGUGGCCUGUGAGGGUUGCUGGAGGUAUCAGAAGUGCGAAUGCUGACAUAAGUAACGAUAAAGCGGGUGAAAAGCCCGCUCGCCGGAAGACCAAGGGUUCCUGUCCAACGUUAAUCGGGGCAGGGUGAGUCGACCCCUAAGGCGAGGCCGAAAGGCGUAGUCGAUGGGAAACGGGUUAAUAUUCCCGUACUUGGUGUUACUGCGAAGGGGGGACGGAGAAGGCUAUGUUGGCCGGGCGACGGUUGUCCCGGUUUAAGCGUGUAGGUGUGUGUUCCAGGUAAAUCCGGUUCACUUUAACACUGAGGCGUGAUGACGAGGCACUACGGUGCUGAAGCAACAAAUGCCCUGCUUCCAGGAAAAGCCUCUAAGCAUCAGGUAACAUCAAAUCGUACCCCAAACCGACACAGGUGGUCAGGUAGAGAAUACCAAGGCGCUUGAGAGAACUCGGGUGAAGGAACUAGGCAAAAUGGUGCCGUAACUUCGGGAGAAGGCACGCUGACACGUAGGUGAAGUGAUUUACUCAUGGAGCUGAAGUCAGUCGAAGAUACCAGCUGGCUGCAACUGUUUAUUAAAAACACAGCACUGUGCAAACACGAAAGUGGACGUAUACGGUGUGACGCCUGCCCGGUGCCGGAAGGUUAAUUGAUGGGGUCAGCGCAAGCGAAGCUCCUGAUCGAAGCCCCGGUAAACGGCGGCCGUAACUAUAACGGUCCUAAGGUAGCGAAAUUCCUUGUCGGGUAAGUUCCGACCUGCACGAAUGGCGUAAUGAUGGCCAGGCUGUCUCCACCCGAGACUCAGUGAAAUUGAACUCGCUGUGAAGAUGCAGUGUACCCGCGGCAAGACGGAAAGACCCCGUGAACCUUUACUAUAGCUUGACACUGAACAUUGAGCCUUGAUGUGUAG
rnacentral:rRNA from 1 species